GAUCCACACUCAAAACUUUCUUCAUACAUCACCGCCGACAAACAAGCCUCGUCUUUAUCGUUAAGGUUUCUGCUGAAGAUAAGGUGUCAAUAUUUUUUUUGGUGGAAAUGAGGCCAGUUUUUAUGGGGAAUUUCGAGUUCGAGACUUGGCAGUGAGAGCUGGAGCGUUUGUUUUCAAAGUAUGGGAGGAUCGACCGGGUUGACAUGAAAUCUGGAAUUUCUUCUGAAGGAAAAUGAGCUUCUAUAUAGGCUCACCAACUUUCUGCAAAAAAAUUCAUGCCUGCCUGUCUACUCUCCUGCCACUCACUGAUGGCAUCAUCCUGCAUUUUCUUCAUUCGAUUAUGUUACUCACCAACCUCACUGGCUGGUGUUGACCUAUCAAACUAUCAUGUUUUGCCUUGUAUAGAGGAUCACUGAAAUCUUUCAUGCAAUGUCUUCAAUUUCUGAACUUCUGCUGUCUGAAUGGCGAAACAUGCUUUGCAAUAAUGUCUCAGACCCUGAAAACUUGGAUUUUAACUUCUAACAUGUCACCAUCUUGAUUUAGCGCAUCAUGCAACGCAUCUACAUCCUUAUGUGCAUCUGCCCUUCCUUCACCUACUUGCAGGUGCUGUAUAUUUUCUUAGUUCUUGCAGGGAAAAGAAAUCCUGUGAUUUGGCUGAUGUAGAUGUAGUUGUGUGUGUAUAGCACCAAUUGUCUAAACUGUCAUUUCUGCUUC